AGCAAUGAUCUUCAGUAAACCUCAUCUCUUGCUAGAAGCAGAGAGAAGAGAGUCCUAGCCUUGUCUACUUUGUGACACUGUUGUCUAUCUUCUGUGAAGUCACCCCUGGUAUUUGUCACCAUAUCACACCAAGCUAAGCCAGAGACCAACAGCUGACCCUGGACUUGCCAAUGGUAGGGCACUUAACUUCUACCAGGCCAUAGGGAGGGUCUUCAUUUGGGUCUACCACCUUGCCAUCUGGACUAGCACCAAGGUGUGGAGCUCCCGGGUGGAUAAUGAGACCGCAUGGAAGAACAUUAACAUUGAAGGUCUCAGCAUAGCGGCGAAGAACCUCUGGCUCAAGUUCCACUCCUCUGCGCAUUGAUUUGGUCUGGGGGGCACCUUUAAUGAUCCGGCCAGAAAGUUUUUUUGCAGUAGAUUCUGACCUCACAUGAGCUGCUUCAUAGAACUUGCUUGCUGUAAGCCGGAGGCGACGCAUGGUAAACCAGAGUGGGCUUUUGGAUUGAUCCCAUGUUCCCUUCUCAAUAGUCCCUGACAUUUCAGGUGUCACCUCCAGGCUCUGCAUGUGCAUGAGUUCAGCCCAGCUGCCAGGGACAAAAUGAUAUUGUGGAAGUGUGUAUUGUGGGAUAGGUAAUGGGGGGAAUUCUGGUGCAUUUGGAUGGAUUAGCACAUCCCUUGGCAGCACAACAGGACACUGGUAAGAAAGCAGUGAACCUUUUGGGACUUCUCCAAAUUUUGUUGAAACCAUGGUUACAGCAGACAUCCCAUCAACAAUCUUUGCAAUUAGUGGUUGCG